rnacentral:rRNA from 1 species
CACGUAGGCACCAAGCGUUGUCCGGAUUUAUUGGGCGUAAAGAGCGUGUAGGCGCCAGGUAGGUCCGUUGUGAAAACUCGAGGCUCAACCUCGAGACGUCGGCGGAAACCCUCUGGCUAGAGUCCGGAAGAGGAGAGUGGAAUUCCUGGUGUAGCGGUGAAAUGCGCAGAUAUCAGGAAGAACACCCGUGGCGAAGGCGGCUCUCUGGGACGGUACUGACGCUGAGACGCGAAAGCGUGGGGAGCAAACAGG